AUGUCAAUACCAUGUAAAUGAAAAGUGGGGGCCCGAUGAUAAAAGCCAUGGAAAAACCAUGGAAAUUUAUGAGUAGCAGUCUUCAUAAAGUAUGUCAAUACCAUGUAAAUGAAAAGUGGGGGCUCGAUGAUAAAAACCAUGGAAAAACCAUGGAAAUUUAUGAGUAGCAGUCUUCAUAAAGUAUGUCAAUACCAUGUAAAUGAAAAGUGAGGGCCCGAUGAUAAAAACCAUGGAAAAACCAUGGAAAUUUAUGAGUAGCAGUCUUCAUAAAGUAUGUCAAUACUAUGUAAAUAAAAAGUGGGGGCCCGAUGAUAAAAAUCAUGAAAAAACCAUGGAAAUCUAUGAGUAGCAGUCUUCAUAAAGUAUGUCAAUACCAUGUAAAUGAAAAGUGGGGGCCCGAUGAUAAAAAACCAUGGAAAAACCAUGGAAAUUUAUGAGUAGCAGUCUUCAUAAAGUAUGUCAAUACCAUGUAAAUGAAAAGUGGGGGCCCGAUGAUAAAAACCAUGGAAAUCUAUGAGUAGCAGUCUUCAUAAAGUAUGUCAAUACCAUGUAAAUAAAAAGUGGGGUCCCGAUGAUAAAAAACA
rnacentral:lncRNA from 1 species